UUAUGAUUUCUGAUUUCUUAAGCAUGAUCAUCAUGAUUACAUGAAUUUAAGGUUAAUUGCUCAUUAGUUCAUCAUGUCUGUUGCCCCUCAACUAAAGUGAAUUUAAGCAGUGAUGACGACAUUUUUGACAGAAAA